rnacentral:rRNA from 1 species
CCUACGGGAGGCAGCAGUGAGGAAUAUUGGUCAAUGGGCGAAAGCCUGAUGGAGCAACGCCGCGUGCAGGAUGAAGGCCUUCGGGUUGUAAACUGCUUUUAUAAGCGAGAAAUAUGAUGGUAACUUAUGAAUAAGGAUCGGCUAACUACGUGCCAGCAGCCGCGGUCAUACGUAGGAUCCGAGCAUUAUCCGGAGUGACUGGGUGUAAAGAGUUGCGUAGGUGGCAUAAUAAGUAGCUAGUGAAAUCUGGUGGCUCAACCAUUCAGACUAUUAGCUAAACUGUUAAGCUCGAGACCGUUAGGGGUAACUGGAAUUUCUAGUGUAGGAGUGAAAUCCGUAGAUAUUAGAAGGAACACCGAUAGCGUAGGCAGGUUGCUGGGACGGUUCUGACACUAAGGCACGAAAGCGUAGGGAGCAAACGGGAUUAGAUACCCUAGUAGUC